rfam:Populus trichocarpa scaffold_11_contig_570, whole genome shotgun sequence.
UCUAGAACUCAAGAUAUGAACUGAAAACAGAACAGUGUCUGAGUUGUAGAACAGAUUCCGACUUCUCCGUUGUUGCUAAGAUUUGAACUUGAAAACGGCAGAAUUGAGUCUUGGACUCCGCAUGAACGUUUUAGGUCUAUGUCUUAGCUUUCCAUC